UACGUAGGGGGCAAGCGUUGUCCGGAAUCAUUGGGCGUAAAGCGCGCGUAGGCGGCCCGGUAAGUCCGCUGUGAAAGUCAAAGGCUCAACCUUUGAAUGUCAGCGGAUACUGCCGGGCUAGAGUCCGGAAGAGGCGAGUGGAACUCCUGGUGUAGCGGUGAAAAUGCGCAGAUAUCGGGAGGAACACCAAUGGCGAAGGCAGCCCCGCUGGGACGGUACUGACGCUGAGACGCGAAAAGCGUGGGGGAGCAAACAGGG
rnacentral:rRNA from 1 species